rnacentral:rRNA from 1 species
ACCCCGUGAACCUUUACUAUAGCUUGACACUGAACAUUGAGCCUUGAUGUGUAGGAUAGGUGGGAGGCUUUGAAGUGUGGACGCCAGUCUGCAUGGAGCCAACCUUGAAAUACCACCCUUUAAUGUUUGAUGUUCUAACGUAGACCCGUAAUCCGGGUUGCGGACAGUGUCUGGUGGGUAGUUUGACUGGGGCGGUCUCCUCCCAAAGAGUAACGGAGGAGCACGAAGGUUAGCUAAUCCUGGUCGGACAUCAGGAGGUUAGUGCAAUGGCAUAAGCUAGCUUGACUGCGAGCGUGACGGCGCGAGCAGGUGCGAAAGCAGGUCAUAGUGAUCCGGUGGUUCUGAAUGGAAGGGCCAUCGCUCAACGGAUAAAAGGUACUCCGGGGAUAACAGGCUGAUACCGCCCAAGAGUUCAUAUCGACGGCGGUGUUUGGCACCUCGAUGUCGGCUCAUCACAUCCUGGGGCUGAAGUAGGUCCCAAGGGUAUGGCUGUUCGCCAUUUAAAGUGGUACGCGAGCUGGGUUUAGAACGUCGUGAGACAGUUCGGUCCCUAUCUGCCGUGGGCGCUGGAGAAUUGAGGGGGGCUGCUCCUAGUACGAGAGGACCGGAGUGGACGCAUCACUGGUGUUCGGGUUGUCAUGCCAAUGGCAUUGCCCGGUAGCUACAUGCGGAAGAGAUAAGUGCUGAAAGCAUCUAAGCACGAAACUUGCCCCGAGAUGAGUUCUCCCUGAGACUUUAAGUCUCCUGAAGGAACGUUGAAGACGACGACGUUGAUAGGCUGGGUGUGUAAGUGCAGCGAUGCAUUGAGCUAACCAGUACUAAUGAACCGUGAGGCUUAACCUU